rnacentral:rRNA from 1 species
CUGACCUGCCCAGUGAUUAAUUUAACGGCCGCGGUAUACUGACCGUGCAAAGGUAGCAUAAUCAUUAGUCUUUUAAUAGAGGGCUGGAAUGAAAGGUUUAACGAGGAAUUGACUGUCUCAUUUUAUUUGUUUUAAAAUUUAAUUUUUUAGUUAAAAAGCUAAAAUUUUAUUGGAAGACGAGAAGACCCUAUAGAUCUUUAUAGAAUUAUAGUUACUUAUCAUUAUAUAAUUACAAUUAAUUAUUUUUCUAUUUUGUUGGGGUGACAAAAAUAUAAAAUAAACUUUUUUAUUUAUUUGACAUUGAUUUAUGAAUAUAUGAUCCAUUAUUAGUGAUUAUUAGAUUAAGUUACCUUAGGGAUAACAGCGUAAUCCUCCUCCAGAGUUCAUAUUUACAGGAUGGGCUUGCGACCUCGAUGUUGGAUUAAGAUAAUAAUCAGGUGUAGCCGCUUGAUUUAUAGGUCUGUUCGACCUUUAA